CCGCCCGCCCAGCCCACCUGGCAGGUGCGCUGCCUGGAGCCGGCUGGGCUGCGGUGGGUGUCUCGGUCAUUCCCCGUCCCACUGCCCCAGAAUAAAAAUCUUGAAAACCAGGAGCAGAAAGCUAAGAGAAUUACUGGGCUUCUCCCAACCCUUCUCCUUCUCUCACACAUGGAAAUCCUUUCAUGGAAAGCCAAAAACAUGAUGCUGAGAGUCAAGGCUUCAGCAGACUGCUGAAGAGAUCAACUGCAUCAGAAGUCUAAGAACCCUGCUUGCACAUCCUUGUCAUCACAGGGGAAAGCAGUCAGCUCUCACUAGUAGGGGCUCUGACGACGCUCUGCCAAGGGCCACGUGCACCGCCUGGAGGGAAGAGGCUCAGGCCAGGCUCCAAAUUCCACAGCGGGGUUAACUACAAGGGACCCUCUUUGCAGAAUGAUGAAACACUGUUAGCUUCAGCAAGAUUUGCAGCUGGCCCCAAGAGCACUUCUGCAGGGUAACACAGGUCUAUGCAUAAAACUCCACUCCGGUCCUCCUGGAAAUUUCUAUUUCCCUUUCCACAUAGUGCGUAUAACCUAGGCAUGCUAGAGUUAAGUCAAGAUUUGCCAAAAACACUUCUCAAGUAGAGAAAAUCAAACUGCCUCGUACAAGGAGGCCAAUCUGAUAAGUCCUCUAUUUCCUCUCUCGAUGCUCCAGCUGUUUGGCACUAGAAUAAAGGGUGGCUCACCAGUGAGUUUCCAUGGAAUUGGUUGCUCCUGAGGCCUUUUCUGACAUGAAGGGUAGUGAGCUGAUUUUCUCCACCAGGGCAGUAAUGAUACCAGUGAGAAGAAACUAUGAAGAGGGGAGGGGAUUUUAAGAGGGGAGGAAAGCCAACUUCUCAAAGAAGACAAAAAGGGAAUUUUGCGCCUCUAUCAUUCAGAGGCGCCUGAACACUCAUCUUCAAGGAGAUGCGUGGGGCUGCGCUGAAUGAAUAAUGACGGCUAACAUCUUCUAGCAUUGACUCUGCUCCAGACGCCCUUGUAAGGGCUUUACACAUGUCAACCUAGUUAAUCCUCACAACAGGCCAAUGAGGUAGGCAUCAUUAUUAUUAUUAUCUCUACUUUGAAGGUUAAGGACCCCAGGCACCGAGAGGGUAAGCAGUGAAGUCAGGAAAGCAGCUGCGGGCUGCAGGAGCUCCAGGUUCAUCCAGGACAAUAGCAGGCGGUGAAGAGUCCCCGGUGGGGCCUGGCUGCGUGUGCAGCUGCAGAGGCUGCGUCCUGUUCAUCCGCACAAUAAACCCCCAUUAAGGAGGGAAGCGCGAUUGGCCGCCCUCGCUCUUGCACCCUGAAAGAGCCUAUAGAAUACAGAUCCCAUUGUGAAUGCUUUUGUCAUUUGGAGAUUCCUUUUUUUUAUAUAUCUAAAUGGAAUAAUCAGCCCCUUAAUGUAUCCGAGGGGAAUUCAGGAUAGGGACGAAGACGCGGCCCCUGCGUUUGAGGCAUUUGCAAUCUUUGUUGGAGGGACAGAGCCAACAGAUGGAGAACAAUAGGGAGGGACUCAAGGGCUGGUGUACGCAAAUGCCAAAUGCCCCCUGUGGUCUCUGGCCAUGAAUGAUCUGUGGAAGGAGAGAAGGGAAGGCUGUUUGCUCACUGGCUAGCAAGUUAGGUGUGAUGAGGGCUGGAAAGGAGAGACUGGGUGGCUUUGGGCAUAUUUUUUUUAAUCUUUAGACUCCACCUUCUUCCACUGUAAAAUAAAGUCACCAGUAAUCUCAAAAACUCCGUCCAGAUUUAAUAUUCAAUAAAUUAUGACCUUUUUUUGGUAAGGCUGGAUUUUCAUGUAUGGUAUCUGCUAAAAGUUGAGGCACAGUGUGACUGAUAUGGCCCAGACUGAAGACCAUAGGGUCAGGUUGAUACAGUUUCCUGACCUCACAUUAGCUUCCAAGAGCAUUCAUGUUGUGAACUUUAGCACUUUAGCUUUUCUUGGUUAUUCAAUUUAUUGAUUGCUCCAGCCAUAUACUAGGGUGGGCAAAAGUAGGUUUACAGUUGUUCAUAUGGAAAAAUAUAUAAUACAAGAAUAAACAAUAAUCCAAGAAUAAACUCUUCAUGUACUCACUGUAAACCUGCUUUUGCCCCACCCUUUAUCUGUCUUAGCCAU